UACGUAGGGUGCGAGCGUUGCCCGGAUUUAUUGGGCGUAAAGGGCGCGUAGGCGGCUCUGCACGUCCGUUGUGAAAUCGCCCGGCUCAACUGGGCGGGGUCAGCGGAUACGGCAGAGCUCGAGCAAGCUAGGGGGCAAUGGAAUUCCCGGUGUAGUGGUGGAAUGCGUAGAUAUGCGGAGGAACACCGAUGGCGAAGGCAAUCCCCUGGACCUGUACUGACGCUCAUGCACGAAAGCGUGGGGAGCAAACAGG
rnacentral:rRNA from 1 species